GCACUGCUGAGGAGUCCCAUACUAGGACGAUGCGGCCGUCCAGUGC
rfam:Schistosoma margrebowiei strain Zambia genome assembly, scaffold: SMRZ_contig0004747